rnacentral:rRNA from 1 species
AUUGAACGCUGGCGGCAGGCCUAACACAUGCAAGUCGAGCGGAGCGGCGGACGGGUGAGUAAUGCCUAGGAAUCUGCCUGGUAGUGGGGGAUAACGUACGGAAACGGGAGCUAAUACCGCAUACUAUCAGAUGAGCCUAGGUCGGAUUAGCUAGUUGGUGGGGUAAAGGCCUACCAAGGCGACGAUCCGUAACUGGGCGGAGAGGAUGAUCAGUCACACUGGAACUGGGGCACGGUCCCGACUCCCACGGGAGGCAGGAGUGGGGAAUAUUGGACAAUGGGCGGAAGCCUGAUCCCACCAUGCCGCGUGUGUGAAGAAGGUCUUCGGAUUGUAAAGCACUUUAAGUUGGGAGGCGUUACCAACAGAAUAAGCACCGGCUAACUUCGUGCCAGCAGCCGCGGUAAUUC